GUGCUCACUUCAGCACAUACACUAAAAUUGGAAUGAUACAGAGAAGAUUAGCAUGGCCCCUGUGCAAGCGAGACAUGCUUUUAAAAUAAAAAAAAAUUUU
rnacentral:snRNA from 1 species